ACAGAGGGGGCGAGCGUUAUUCGGAAUUAUUGGGCGUAAAGGGCGCGUAGGCGGCUUGACAAGUCCAAGGUGAAAUCCCUCGGCUCAACCGAGGAACUGCCUUGGAAACUGUCUGGCUCGAGGCCGGGAGAGGGUAGUGGAAUUCCCAGUGUAGCGGUGAAAUGCGUAGAUAUCUGGAGGAAUACCGGUGGCGAAGGCGGCAUCCUGGACCAUUACUGACGCUGAGGCGCGAAAGCUAGGGGAGCAAACGGGA
rnacentral:rRNA from 1 species